GACGAACGCUGGCGGCGUGCCUAAUACAUGCAAGUCGAGCGGACUUUCAAGAAGCUUGCUUUUUGAAAGUUAGCGGCGGACGGGUGAGUAACACGUGGGCAACCUGCCUGCAAGACGGGGAUAACUCCGGGAAACCGGGGCUAAUACCGGAUAAUAUCUUCCUUCGCAUGAAGGAAGGUUGAAAGGCGGCGCAAGCUGCCGCUGGCAGAUGGGCCCGCGGCGCAUUAGCUAGUUGGGGAGGUAACGGCUCACCAAGGCGACGAUGCGUAGCCGACCUGAGAGGGUGGACGGCACUAGUGGGGCUGAGAUAGGGGCCAGACGCCGACGGGAGGCAGAAGGGGGGAAGAUGGCAGAAGGGGGGCAAGCCGGAUGCAGAGACGCCGCGGGGGGGAGGACGGCCGUCGGGGGGGAAACUCGUUGCGCGAGGGACGAAGCGUUUUGUGACGGGAGCUAGAUAAGAAGAAACGGCGAACUAAGGG
rnacentral:rRNA from 1 species